rnacentral:misc_RNA from 1 species
GAUGAAGAACGUAGCGAACUGCGAUAAGUAAUGUGAAUUGCAGAAUUCAGUGAAUCAUCGAAUCUUUGAACGCACAUUGCGCCCUCUGGUAUUCCGGGGGGCAUGCCUGUUCGAGCGUCAUUACAACCCUCAAGCUCUGCUUGGUAUUGGGCUCUGCCGGUCCUGGCAGGCCUCAAAGUCAGUGGCGGUGCCAUCCGGCUCCAAGCGUAGUAAUUCUCCUCGCUUCGGAGGCCGCGGUGCGUGCUAGCCAGCAACCCCCAAUUUUUUUCAGGUUGACCUCGAAUCAGGUAGGGAUACCCGCUGAACUUAAGCAUAUCAAUAAGCGGAGGA